rnacentral:rRNA from 1 species
GACGAACGCUGGCGGCGUGCCUAAUACAUGCAAGUAGAACGCUGAAGUCUGGUGCUUGCACUAGACGGAUGAGUUGCGAACGGGUGAGUAACGCGUAGGUAACCUGCCUCAUAGCGGGGGAUAACUAUUGGAAACGAUAGCUAAUACCGCAUAAGCCCACAGCUCGGCAUCGAGCAGAGGGAAAAGGAGUGAUCCGCUUUGAGAUGGCCUCGCGUCCGAUUAGCUGGUUGGUGAGGUAACGGCCCACCAAGGCAACGAUCGGUAGCCGGACUGAGAGGUUGAACGGCCACAUUGGGACUGAGACACGGCCCAG